rnacentral:rRNA from 1 species
GUAGGUGGCAAGCGUUGUCCGGAAUUAUUGGGCGUAAAGCGCGCGCAGGCGGUUCUUUAAGUCUGAUGUGAAAGCCCACGGCUCAACCGUGGAGGGUCAUUGGAAACUGGAGAACUUGAGUACAGAAGAGGAAAGCGGAAUUCCACGUGUAGCGGUGAGAUGCGUAGAGAUGUGGAGGAACACCAGUGGCGAAGGCGGCUUUCUGGUCUGUAACUGACGCUGAGGCGCGAAAGCGUGGGGGGAGCAAACAGGAUUAGAUACCCUGGUAGUCCACGCCGUAAACGAUGAGUGCUAAGUGUUAGGGGGUUUCCGCCCCCCCCUUAGUGCUGCAGCUAACGCAUUAAGCACUCCGCCUGGGGAGUACGGCCGCAAGGCUG